CGAGAAAGCCCGCAAGGGUGAGUAAAGCGGCGCACGGGUGCGUAACACGUGGGUAAUCUGCCCUAGAGUCUGGAAUAACUCGCCGAAAGGCGUGCUAAUGCCGGAUGAGACCACGGGAGCUUCGGCUCCUGUGGGAAAAGGUGGCCUCUGUAUACAAGCUAUCGCUCUAGGAUGAGCCCGCGGCCCAUCAGCUAGUUGGCGGGGUAAUGGCCCACCAAGGCUACGACGGGUAGCUGGUCUGAGAGGACGAUCAGCCACACUGGAACUGAGACACGGUCCAGACUCCUACGGGAGGCAGCAGUGGGGAAUCUUGCGCAAUGGGCGAAAGCCUGACGCAGCAACGCCGCGUGUGUGAUGAAGGUCUUCGGAUCGUAAAGCACUGUCGCGAGGGACG
rnacentral:rRNA from 1 species